CAGCCGCCGCGGUAAUACGUAGGUCCCGAGCGUUGUCCGGAUUUAUUGGGCGUAAAGCGAGCGCAGGCGGUUAGAUAAGUCUGAAGUUAAAGGCUGUGGCUUAACCAUAGUACGCUUUGGAAACUGUUUAACUUGAGUGCAAGAGGGGAGAGUGGAAUUCCAUGUGUAGCGGUGAAAUGCGUAGAUAUAUGGAGGAACACCGGUGGCGAAAGCGGCUCUCUGGCUUGUAACUGACGCUGAGGCUCGAAAGCGUGGGGCGCAAACAGGAUUAGAUACCCCUGUAGUCCCUGUCUCUUAUACC
rnacentral:rRNA from 1 species